rnacentral:rRNA from 1 species
AGCGAACGCUGGCGGCAGGCCUAACACAUGCAAGUCGAACGAACUCUUCGGAGUUAGUGGCGGACGGGUGAGUAACACGUGGGAACGUGCCUUUUGGUUCGGAAUAACUCAGGGAAACUUGUGCUAAUACCGAAUGUGCCCUUCGGGGGAAAGAUUUAUCGCCAUUAGAGCGGCCCGCGUCUGAUUAGCUAGUUGGUGAGGUAACGGCUCACCAAGGCGACGAUCAGUAGCUGGUCUGAGAGGAUGACCAGCCACACUGGGACUGAGACACGGCCCAGACUCCUACGGGAGGCAGCAGUGGGGAAUCUUGCGCAAUGGGCGAAAGCCUGACGCAGCCAUGCCGGGGGAAUGAGGAAGGUCUUAGGAUUGUAAAAUUCUUUCACCGGGGACGAUAAUGACGGUACCCGGAGAAGAAGCCCCGGCUAACUUCGUG